UACAAUUUUAAUUUUAAUAAAAUAUGUGACAUGUCACGAAACAAUAUAUCCAUUCCAUCUAACAACAGUUGUCACUAUUGGAAGUUUGAAUUGUAAUGAUGAAACUGCAUGCAAGCUUGGUUCUUGUAUUGAUUAUUGCAGUAAUUGACAUAAGCAGGUCUUCAAGUUGUACCGGAUGCAGCCAGAAGUGCCGGGGUCGACCUAUGUUUAAUGCGUUUUGGAGCUGUUACAAAAGUUGCUGCCGAUACCAACCACCACCUCGACGGAAUUGUAGCGAUUGCUAUCAAUUAUGUCGAGACCAGCCAAUGUAUUAUCCUUGGGCAAAAUGCUUGAAAAGUAAAUGUCCUAGUCAAAAAUGCGGCGGUUAAUAGAUAGAUCGACGAUUUGAGUAUUAUUAAAAUAUAAAAAGUGUUA